AAGGAUUUAAGUUAAAAACUCAAACUAAUAACCUUCAAAGUUGUAAAUAGACAAACUCUAAGCCUUA
rnacentral:tRNA from 1 species